GCGGCGGACGGGUGAGUAACACGUGGGCAACCUGCCCGCAAGACCGGGAUAACUCCGGGAAACCGGAGCUAAUACCGGAUAACACCGAAGACCGCAUGGUCUUUGGUUGAAAGGCGGCCUUUGGCUGUCACUUGCGGAUGGGCCCGCGGCGCAUUAGCUAGUUGGUGAGGUAACGGCUCACCAAGGCGACGAUGCGUAGCCGGCCUGAGAGGGUGACCGGCCACACUGGGACUGAGACACGGCCCAGACUCCUACGGGAGGCAGCAGUAGGGAAUCUUCCGCAAUGGGCGAAAGCCUGACGGAACGACGCCGCGUGAGCGAAGAAGGCCUUCGGGUCGUAAAGCUCUGUUGUGAGGGACGAAGGAGCGCCGUUCGAAGAGGGCGGCGCGGUGACGGUACCUCACGAGGAAGCCCCGGCUAACUACGUGCCAGCAGCCGCGGUAAUAC
rnacentral:rRNA from 1 species